rnacentral:misc_RNA from 1 species
GCACGGUGCUGUCUUCGGGAUAACAUGGAUCAAACCAAGUCUAAACAUGAGCGCCCAAGCCCAUAAACACUAAAAAUCUAACAGAGUAAGGACCCAUGCCUAAAUCCCUUAACCCGGCAAGAGAACCUUGUCACGUUAUAGAUCGAAAAAAGGACUAGCUCGUCACUUUUGUUGAUUGUCUGGUGAGACUAACCCCAACCGAGGGGAGACUCAUCUCACUGAAGACCGAAGGGGUCCGAAACUCAGCUUAAAGGCCUGACAAAAGAAGUCCCCAAGAAACAUUGCCCAGGGGAAAUGGGAAAGCCAACUCUAAAAACUCCGCACAAAUCAAGCAGAACUAGCAGAACCACUGAGGGACAGAGCUCUAGCCAUUACUCUCAACAUGACUUUGAAGGAUUGGAAGGCCACGAAGCGGCGCCGUAGUUUCCUCGAUGUACUAAUCUCAGAGGAAAUCAUUACUAAAGCACACUGAGCAAUGUUGGGAAGACGCAAACCAUAAGCAGAUCAAAACCACACAUCCCAUCCCUCUUGAAGAAGC